rnacentral:rRNA from 1 species
GACGGAGGGGCAAGCGUUGUUCGGAUUCAUUGGGCGUAAAGGGCUCGUAGGCGGACAGGUAAGUCUGGCGUGAAAUCUCCACCACUCAACGGGGGAGAGGUCGUCGGAAACUGCUUGUCUGGAGUACGGUAGGAGGACCUGGAAUUCCAGGUGUAGCGGUGGAAUGCGUAGAGAUCUGGAAGAACACCGGUGGCGAAGGCGGUG